ensembl:lncRNA
CUCAUCUGUUUCCCCAACAGAAGGCGGAGACAUUGAUGGUUAGAUAAAUGUACAUAAAUUUCUGACUCUAAGAGAAUGAAUAUCUUAUUUAAUAUUGCGCUGCUAAUCACUGGCCAAUGGCAUGAGGUGGUCAUAUAUAAGUAGUAGCUGCUGUCUGAGCAUGUUGCGGUCAUCGGUCACCUGACUUCUCUAGCUGUUACAUAAGCCUCCCCUCCGUCCAUUAGGUUGUAGCUGCAGAAGCCUCCUAUUGCUGCUUGUCUGAGCUACAAAAAGUGUUGCUGCUUUUUCUUCUUCUUUGAUUUGUUUUGGGUUUCGUAGCUUUACUUGUUUUUGAGACGGGAGUGUCCAAUCCAGUAACAGGCUGGGCACUAAAGCUUCCGACUCCCAGUUCUUUUCUUUUUUUGUUUUGUUUUAUUUUUCUUUUAUUUUUUGUCGUCACUCCACCAAAGUCCACAUAAAAAAAAGGAAAAAAAGGGUUACAUCAGUCAACAGGACGAUGGAGGAAGCAUCUCUACUACGUCUAAACUGAAGCAGCCUACAGGUCACAUGACCAUCCAGCAUGUUUCCAGGUCUGAUGAAGGCCUCUACAAGUGUGACAUCAGCGGUCAUGGAGAGUCUCCAUCCAGCUGGAUCACUGUCACAGGGGAACACACCACCACACCUCCACCUGCAUUUUCUGCUGGUUCGUCCCUUCUCCCUGUGUUGCUGACAGCUCAAUCAGCCUGUGUUGUAGUUAUACUGGAGUUACUGGUUCUUUUGCUGGAAUGAAACGUUCAAAGGAAACUCAAAGCUACACCUCCACCUGCAGCCACAGCUCCAUCUGCAGCCACCUCUGCAUUGGCCUCUCUGGAUUUUUACUCUCUUCUCCCCAUGGUGGUGACUGCUGCGUUGGUCUGUCUCGUGGUUGUAGUGGUGUUAAUGUUUCUUUUGAUGGAACAAACCAGUCACAGUCAACUUGAAGAGUUUCCAAGAGAGCCAGACGUCAUCUACUCUGAAGUGAAGCAUUUCACCAGUCCAGCCACUGAGAUCCAGCUGCAGGUCUCUCACAGUCCUCAAAGCACCUGAUGAAGAUUUUUAUGUGAAGAACCUGCAAAAACAAAGAAAUAAACAAAUGUGCCUUCAGCAACAUGUAGUUAAGCGAGAAUAUAACUAAUAUAUUAAUCUAAUGCUGUGUAUUUAAUGCUAUUUAUAUAUUUUAUUUCUAAAUGUGGGGCCCUGCUGGUGUCUUCACAGCAGUAAUUUGGUUUCUCUGCAGGAUCAGUAAACUUUAGUCUCCCUUGCUGUUCUUCUCAUGUGGCUUUGUGAGUUUCAUAAAGACGUCUGAGAGGAAACUAUGAAUAGUUACGGCCAACAGAUACACACCUCUGUUUGGAGCAGAUAACAAAGAAAGAAACAAUCAAAACUUGACUUCAACUGCAGACUAAAGCAGGAAUCAUUCAAAGCUGGAAAAUAAAGACUGAGAACAAAGUGUGUGAGUUUGAAUAACUUUGAUUUGAAGAAAUUAAAUAUUAAAUAUGUGAGACUUUAUUUUCAGGUCAUUUGCGGCUUGUCUAGAGUCCUCGCUUGUUGUUGUUUUUACUGUAACAUACUAAACAUGCGCUUUUUCAGUCCAAAGGUUUUCAAAUUGGGGUUUCCAAACAGGCAGAACAACCCUAACCUUGUAUGAGUUGCCAAAGACCUGAUAGCUGUGAGGGGGUAAAACUGAUCAAGUGGGGACAAAAAGAGAAAUGCUUCUUCACAUCUGUCUUUAGUUCUUUUAAGCUAUGUAUUGGUGCUGUUUAUUCAGUUUAUCCUACUGUAAUAAAUGCUCACUUGCAGGAGUCAUGUGUUUGUAGAAAAAUGAGCUGUAAUGUGUUCUGGGAGGAGUGAAAUGCAGUUCAUGAAUGUGAUAUUUGCCUGUAAGCUUUAUACAACUGUGUCCUUCUGUUUAAGUGUGAAAUAAAAUGAAUAUGAUGAUAAAGUGA